rnacentral:rRNA from 1 species
CGAAAGCCUGACGGAGCAAUACCGCGUGAGGGAGGAAGGCUCUAGGGUUGUAAACCUCUUUUCUCAGGGAAGAACAAAAUGACGGUACCUGAGGAAUAAGCAUCGGCUAACUCCGUGCCAGCAGCCGCGGUAAUACGGAGGAUGCAAGCGUCAUCCGGAAUCAUUGGGCGUAAAGCGUCCGUAGGUGGUGCUUCAAGUCUGCUGUUAAAGCCCGGGGCUCAACCCUGGAGGAGCAGUGGAAACUGGAAUACUAGAGUGCGGCAGGGGUAGAGGGAAUUCCCGGUGUAGCGGUGAAAUGCGUAGAUAUCGGGAAGAACACCAGUGGCGAAAGCGCUCUACUGGACCGUAACUGACACUGAUGGACGAAAGCUAGGGGAGCG